rnacentral:rRNA from 1 species
CUACGGGUCGCUGCAGUGAGGAAUUUUGCGCAAUGGGGGGAACCCUGACGCAGCAACGCCGUGUGAGUGAAGAAGGCCUUUGGGUCGUAAAGCUCUGUCAACUGGGAAGAAGUUACUAUGCUUAAAUAGAGUGUAGUAUUGACGGUACCAGUGGAGGAAGCGUCGGGUAACUCCGUGCCAGCAGCCGCGGUAACACGGGGGACGCAAGCGUUAUUCGGAAUUUUGGGCGUAAAGGGCGCGUAGGCGGUCUUGUCGGUCAGGUGUGAAAGCCCGGGGCUCAACCCCGGACGUGCACUUGAAACAGCAAGACUUGAGUACGGGAGAGGAAAGCGGAAUUCCUGGUGUAGAGGUGAAAUUCGUAGAUAUCAGGAGGAACACCGAUGGCGAAGGCAGCUUUCUGGACCGAAACUGACGCUGAGGCGCGAAGGCGUGGGUAGCGAACGGGAUUAGAUACCCGAGUAGUC